CUACCGUGGGUUCGAAUCCCACCCUCUCCGCCA
rnacentral:sRNA from 1 species